AUACGGAGGGUGCAAGCGUUAUCCGGAUUCAUUGGGUUUAAAGGGUGCGCAGGCGGAUAUUUAAGUCAGUGGUGAAAUCCCGGGGCUCAACCUCGGAACUGCCAUUGAUACUGAAUAUCUGGAAUACGGUUGAAGUGGGCGGAAUGUAGCAUGUAGCGGUGAAAUGCAUAGAGAUGCUACAGAACACCGAUCGCGAAGGCAGCUCACUAAGCCGAUAUUGACGCUCUGGCACGAAAGCGUGGGGAGCAAACAGGAUUAGAAACCCUAGUAGUCC
rnacentral:rRNA from 1 species